rnacentral:rRNA from 1 species
UACCGAGGGGGCAAGCGUUAUUCGGAAUUAUUGGGCGUAAAGGGCGCGUAGGCGGCUUUUCAAGUGACGGGUGAAAUCCCUCGGCUUAACCGAGGAACUGCCUGUCAGACUGGAAGGCUUGAGACCGGGAGAGGUGAGUGGAAUUCCCAGUGUAGCGGUGAAAUGCGUAGAUAUUGGGAGGAACACCAGUGGCGAAGGCGGCUCACUGGACCGGUACUGACGCUGAGGCGCGAAAGCGUGGGGAGCAAACAGG